UCCCUGGAGGACUAGCGGUUAGGCUGCGGCACUCCCACUGCCGUGGCCGGGGUUCAAUUCCCAGCCAGGGAA